UACGUAGGGUGCAAGCGUUGUCCGGAAUUAUUGGGCGUAAAGAGCUCGUAGGCGGUCUGUCGCGUCGAUCGUGAAAACUUGGGGCUUAACCCUGAGCUUGCGGUCGAUACGGGCAUGACUGGAGUUCGGCAGGGGAGACUGGAAUUCCUGGUGUAGCGGUGAAAUGCGCAGAUAUCAGGAGGAACACCGAUGGCGAAGGCAGGUCUCUGGGCCACUACUGACGCUGAGAAGCGAAAGCAUGGGGAGCGAACAGG
rnacentral:rRNA from 1 species